AGAACGUUCGCGAGGUUUGAACCCAUUUUUGAAAAAUAAACACGAUCAUCAAUAAGCCAUUCACAGAAAUAGUCAAAUGCGGUGUGGUACUGACGAAAUUGGUCGUGGAAAUCAAACUCGAAAACAAACGUUGGUCAUGCAUCAAAACAAAUAGAAAUGAGCCGUGUCAUGACAAAACCAACAUAAUGGGUUUGCGACCAGCAUGGAUCCAGACCAGCCUGCGCAUCCGCUACAUGCACUUUUCGGUAGCGUAUAUUCUAAAUCUCAAUAUCAAUUUGUAGGGAAAUUUAUCUUUUCAGUCGGCCUAUCAAUUUUGUAUUACAACUGGUCUAAUUAGUUUGUAAAACAUAUAGGUAAUGUCAGUUCUUAUUGAUAUUUUUGUUGCCUGUAUCUUUAUAAUGUAAUUUAUAUGUUUUGGGAAAGUUUCGUGCAUUGUGUGCAGUCAUUAUCUGAUUUAAAUGCUGCAUAAAUAUUUAAGAAGUUUUGACAUUUAGACUCAUGAUUGAUAUUAAUUGAUUUAAGAUAUAAUCUUAGAGUUUAUGUAUUGUAUUUUUGUGUAUAUAACCGGAUUAAUUUCAUUAACUAUUGUUGUUUAUAUUUAAUCGUGUAUUAUCUAUAUCUUUUAUCUCAUAUAUCAUUUUGGAAUUGCUGUUCAUUUGUGAUGUUCUUUAUUUAUAACUAUUUAUUUAUUUUGAAUUUAUUUUAUUUACACAAGAAUAUGUAACUUGUUAUUCCAUCAGAUUCAUCCGAUACAACUAGAUAUUUCUGAAGUGUAUCUUUUCCAAGUUAAUGAUGCAACACCAUUUUUUAGUCUAUAUCGCCAUCAUAUCACAUGCACUUGCAGUUAAAUUGCUUUAUUUCAAAGGAAUGUUUAAUAAUUAUAAAGAUAAAAAGUUUUAGCUUCAGCAGUAAAUAAGAGUAAAUAAGAUCAUCAAUAAGUCAUCCACAGAAACAGUAAAAUGCAUAUUAAUAUAUGAUGCGUAACGGAGACAUUGGUUGUGGUAAUCAACACAAAUGUUUAUCAGACAUCCAAAUUAUUCGACGGGUUGUCAUUAUGUACAUUUUUAAUCUGGAAUAUUUUUUAAUUUAUAAAUCAAAUUCGAUGUGUUUUAAUCUUUGUUAAUUCAAACUGUUAUAUAUAAAGGACUCUCUUGUUACUUGUGUCUUUUGAAAAGUUUACAUGUAUAUAAUGUGUAUUUGUUUUGGACUGAUUUUUUGCUAAAACAUUGUG